GGUGGCGCACGGCUCAGUAACACGUAGUCAACCUACCCUAGGGACGGGGAUAACCUCGGGAAACUGAGGCUAAACCCCGAUAGGCUAUAGCUUCUGGAAUGAGCUAUAGCUGAAAUCUAUAUGGCCCUAGGAUGGGACUGCGGCCGAUCAGGUAGUUGGUGGGGUAAUGGCCCACCAAGCCUAUAACCGGUGCGGGCUCUGAGAGGAGGAGCCCGGAGAUGGGCACUGAGACAAGGGCCCAGGUCCUAUGGGGCGCAGCAGGCGCGAAACCUCCGCAAUGGGCGAAAGCCCGACGGGGUUAGUCCGAGUGGCCCCUGCUGAAGGGGCCUUUUGCCAGCUGUAAAAAGGCUGGAGAAUAAGGGGUGGGCAAGUUUGGUGUCAGCCGCCGCGGUAAUACCAGCACCCCGAGUGGUCGGGACGAUUAUUGGGCCUAAAGCAUCCGUAGCCGGCUUAGCAAGUCCUCCGUUAAAUCCAACGGCUUAACCGUUGGGCUGCGGGGGAUACUGCUAAGCUAGGGGGCGGGAGAGGCGAGGGGUAUUCCCAGGGUAGGGGUAAAAUCCGUUGAUCCUGGGAGGACCACCAGUGGCGAAGGCGCCUCGCUAGAACGCGCCCGACGGUGAGGGAUGAAAGCUGGGGGAGCGAACCGGAUUAGAUACCCGGGUAGUCCCAGCUGUAAACGAUGUAGGCUCGAUGUUGGGUUACCCACGUGGUAGCCCAGUGUCGCAGGGAAGCCGUUAAGCCUACCGCCUGGGGAGUACGGCCGCAAGGCUGAAACUUAAAGGAAUUGGCGGGGGAGCACCACAAGGGGUGGACGCUGCGGCUUAAUCGGAUUCAACGCCGGAAACCUUACCGGGGCUGACGGCAGGAUGAAGGUCGGGCUGACGACCCUACCUGACGAGCCGAGAGGAGGUGCAUGGCCGUCGCCGGUGCGUGCCGUGAGGUGUCCUGUUAAGUCAGGCAACGGACGAGACCCGCGCCCCCAGUUGCCAGCGGCCGAGAGGCGCCGGGCACUCUGGGGGGACUGCCCCCGAAAGGGGGAGGAAGGAGCGGGCUACGGCAGGUCGGUAUGCCCCGAAUGCCCCGGGCCGCACGCGACGUUCAAUGGCGGGGACAGCGGGAUGCGACCCCGAAAGGGGGAGCCAACCCCUAAACCCCGCCUCAGUAGGGAUCGAGGGUUGCAACUCGCCCUCGUGAACGCGGAAUCCCUAGUAACCGCGCGUA
rnacentral:rRNA from 1 species